CCUACGGGAGGCAGCAGUAGGGAAUAUUGCUCAAUGGGGGAAACCCUGAAGCAGCAACGCCGCGUGGGGGAUGAAGGUUUUCGGAUUGUAAACUCCUUUUGUUAGAGAAGAUAAUGACGGUAUCUAACGAAUAAGCACCUGCUAACUCCGUGCCAGCAGCCGCGGUAAUACGGAGGGUGUAAGCGUUACUCGGAAUUACUGGGGGUAAAGAGCGCGUAGGCGGGAUCGCAAGUCCGAUGUGAAAUCCUUUGGCUUAACCAUAGAACUGCAUUUGAAACUGUGAUUCUAGAGUAUGGGAGAGGGAGGUGGAAUUCUUGGUGUAGGGGUAAAAUCCGUAGAGAUCAAGAGGAAUACUCAUUGCGAAGGCGACCUGCUAGAACAUAACUGACGCUGAUGCGCGAAAGCGUGGGGAGCAAACAGGAUUAGAUACCCGGGUAGUC
rnacentral:rRNA from 1 species